rnacentral:rRNA from 1 species
UACGUAGGUGGCAAGCGUUAUCCGGAUUUAUUGGGCGUAAAGAGAACGCAGGCGGUCUUUUAAGUCUGAUGUGAAAGCCUUCGGCUUAACCGGAGUAGUGCAUUGGAAACUGGGAGACUUGAGUGCAAAAGAGGAGAGUGGAACUCCAUGUGUAGCGGUGAAAUGCGUAGAUAUAUGGAAGAACACCAGUGGCGAAAGCGGCUCUCUGGUCUGUAACUGACGCUGAGGUUCGAAAGCGUGGGUAGCAAACAGG